GUCAAUUUUAACAUGAGGCGAAAUAACGUAAUGUCGUAUGUGUUGAUUAUAACAAAUUUUGUACAUUUUUAAUUAAAAUUUGGCUUAAUUGACCGGGAAACUACUGCAAUGUCUAUUAUUAUACACAUACUUAGCAUAACCAUUGUUUAAAAGCGUACUUAAAAUUUAAUAUAAAAUUGGACCAAGCAGCUUUAAUUGAAGUUGAGGGUAAGUAUUGGGCUAGCAGAAUCAAAAGCUGUAAUAUGUGACAAGGGGAAUAACUCAUGUCUCUUACAACUGAGAAAAUGAGGUGUUUGUGGUUUCUUUGUAAGAAACUGUAGAAAAGCUAUAUUUGUGCUACCAAAUAAAAUGCACCCAAAGUGUAUGCUCCAGUCCUACUGUUUAAAUCCAAGAAAUGCCAGUUUAAUGUUUAAAUAAAAGGUUAUUUUAUCCAGUUAGCUCAUGUUUGUUACAAUGCUUACUGUUUCAGAAAUAUGUUGUGUACAGUAACUGUUACUUUUUAAUGUUCCUGUUUUGAUUAUAAAACAUUUUUGAAAUG
rnacentral:misc_RNA from 1 species